rnacentral:piRNA from 1 species
UACCUGUUAAAUCCAAAGACGCUGAGAUGC